UCUUACGUGAUUAACUCCUUCUCAAACCCUCCUCUCCAAAUCCGUUGUUCCUCAUGCAAUCCUCUAAUCCGCUCGCAAAUCAGAUAUGAUGGAUUUGAAAUUGAAUUUUAAUUUUGCAUCUUGGGCGAAAUUUUGGGAAUUUACUCCUCCCCAACCCAAGAACUCCUCUCACCUCAAUAACUCCUUCGUCAUCAAUUCCUCUUUAAGUUUCAAUGGAAUCACAGAAAUUUGUAGAUUUUGGCAUGAUCAUAUUGUCAAGUACAUAAAUUCUCCAUGAGGAUCGGUUACAACUGGUGAAGAUUGGGGAGUUAGGUUUGACGACAAUUGUGGGGAAGAACCACUCUGCAUAUUCAGGUCUUGGGACACUAGAAUUUAUGCCACAUGAGUUAUAUGAAGAGGCCUAUCUACACAGUAAUUGUGGAAUACUCAUUUGGAAUGUGUGUUGGAGAUGGUGACACUAUAGAUUCCCGUGAGUGUGACAAUGUUGUCAAUAUAUACAAGAAGGUGUAUACAAGAAGGUGUCUUUAGAAGUGAGACCUCAUGGGAUAAAGGAUUCAAAGGUGAAGGCCUUCAUUGAGAAGUGUCUUGCUCAACCAGGGGCUUAGACCUCUGCCACUGAGUUGCUCGAAGACCAUUACAUGUCCUUUACUGUGAUGAAAACAAUGAUUCUAGAUAAUACUUUAUGUGUAAUUUUCUUCUCUUUUAUAGAGAAAAUUGAUUUAACUAUUUUUUAGUUGAUAAGUCAGUUUCAUCAGGGUAGGCUUGACGACAUAUUAGUGAUUUAAUUUAAUUUUCUUUCUUUGUAGGAGUGAACUUGAAGAUGAGUU